AGGGAGGAGCUGAGCUCUUUCUGAACUAUAAGAGACACUAACUUCCACAUUCAACACAGUUCAACACACAAUCAGUAACUCUGCUCUCAUGGAACAUUUCAGGCUUUUUCUGCUCAUUGCCUCACUUCUAACAGGUGUCUGUUCUCAAGAUCUCACUCCACUGGCUGAUGAAACCUUCCCCAUAGAGGGCAGCUCUGUUACUCUGGCCUACAGAUUCUCUAACGAACCAAGGGCAAGUGAUGAGUUUUAUUGGUAUCGACAGUAUCCAGGAAAACCUCCAGAGUUUCUGAUCUAUCAUUUAGGAUCAGGAAAAAUACAAAAUGAGCGAAUCCCUGGACUGAAGAUCCAGGUGAAGGGAACUGAUCUAAGCCUGCUGAUCCCCUCUGCUGCAGUGACUGACUCUGCUGUGUAUUACUGUGCUGUGAGGCCCACAGUGACAGGAAACACCAGAACUCUGUACAAGAACCUGCAAUACUCCACAGCAUCCACUAGAGGGCCUCACACACUGUUCCUCCUCUAUGGUUUGUUAGGAUUCAGUCUGAUUGUUUGUGCAGCUGAGAAUAAAGCAGACAUCAGAGUGUUUGCUGCAUCAUUGAACUCUUUCUGAUGAGAAGGUUUGGAUCAUAAAGGAGGGAUGA